rnacentral:rRNA from 1 species
AUUGAACGCUGGCGGCAUGCCUUACACAUGCAAGUCGAACGGCAGCACGGGAGCAAUCCUGGUGGCGAGUGGCGAACGGGUGAGUAAUAUAUCGGAACGUGCCCAGUCGUGGGGAUAACGUAGCGAAAGCUACGCUAAUACCGCAUACGAUCUAUGGAUGAAAGCGGGGGAUCGCAAGACCUCGCGCGAUUGGAGCGGCCGAUAUCAGAUUAGGUAGUUGGUGAGGUAAAGGCUCACCAAGCCGACGAUCUGUAGCUGGUCUGAGAGGACGACCAGCCACACUGGGACUGAGACACGGCCCAGACUCCUACGGGAGGCAGCAGUGGGGAAUUUUGGGACAAUGGGCGCAAGCCUGAUCCAGCAAUGCCGCGUGCAGGAUGAAGGCCUCGGUGUAACUGCUUUG